GACGAACGCUGGCGGCGUGCUUAACACAUGCAAGUCGAGCGGUAAGGCCCUUUCGGGGGUACACGAGCGGCGAACGGGUGAGUAACACGUGGGUGACCUGCCCUCAGCUCUGGGAUAAGCCUGGGAAACCGGGUCUAAUACCGGAUAUGACUCCAUGACGCAUGUUGUGGGGUGGAAAGCCUUGUGCGGCUGAGGAUGGGCCCGCGGCCUAUCAGCUUGUUGGUGGGGNGAUGGCCUACCAAGGCGACGACGGGUAGCCGGCCUGAGAGGGCGACCGGCCACACUGGGACUGAGACACGGCCCAGACUCCUACGGGAGGCAGCAGUGGGGAAUCUUGCGCAAUGGGCGAAAGCCUGACGCAGCGACGCCGCGUGAGGGAUGACGG
rnacentral:rRNA from 1 species